UAGGGAAUAUUGGACAAUGGGGGCAACCCUGAUCCAGCCAUGCCGCGUGAAUGAUAAGGCCUUCGGGUUGUAAAGUUCUUUUGGUGGGGACGAUGAUGACGGUACCCACAGAAUAAGCUCCGGCUAACUUCGUGCCAGCAGCCGCGGUAAUACGAAGGGAGCUAGCGUUGUUCGGAAUUACUGGGCGUAAAGGGUGCGUAGGUGGUGCAAUUAGUCAGGUGUGAAAUCCCCGGGCUCAACCCGGGAACUGCACUUGAUACUGUUGCGCUUGAAUUCGGGAGAGGUAAGUGGAAUUCCCAGUGUAGAGGUGAAAUUCGUAGAUAUUGGGAAGAACACCCGUGGCGAAGGCGGCUUACUGGACCGACAUUGACACUGAGGCACGAAAGUGUGGGGAGCAAACAGGAUUAGAUACCCGUGUAGUCC
rnacentral:rRNA from 1 species